GACGAACGCUGGCGGCGUGGAUUAGGCAUGCAAGUCGAACGGUAUCAUCCUUUCGGGGGUGAGAGAGUGGCGAACUGGUGAGUAACACGUAGGUUAUCUACCCUCAAGACGGGGACAACCCAGGGAAACUUGGGCUAAUACCGGAUGUGAGCAACUUUUAGUUGUUUGAAAGGUGGCGUAAGCUGUCGCUUGGGGAUGAGCCUGCGUCCUAUUAGUUAGUUGGUGAGGUAACGGCUCACCUAGGCAAUGAUAGGUAGGCGGCCUUAACGGGUGGUCGCCCACACUGGGAUUGAGAUACGGCCCAGACUCCUACAGGAGGCAGCAGUCGAGAAUAGUCUACAAUGGUCGGAAGACUGAUAGUGCGACGCCGCGUGAACGAUGAAUCCCUUCGGGGUGUAAAGUUCUUUUAUAUGUGAGCAGUGCUUCUUAUAUUAACAGUAUGGGGAGAGAGAUAUUAGCAUAUGAAUAAGCAACGGCUAACUCCGUGCCAGCAGCCGCGGU
rnacentral:rRNA from 1 species